rnacentral:rRNA from 1 species
UACGUAGGGUGCAAGCGUUGUCCGGAAUUAUUGGGCGUAAAGAGCUCGUAGGCGGUUUGUUGCGUCGGCUGUGAAAUCCCGAGGCUCAACCUCGGGUCUGCAGUCGAUACGAGCAAACUAGAGUGUUGCAGGGGAGACUGGAAUUCCUAGUGUAGCGGUGAAAUGCGUAGAGAUGUGGAGGAACACCGAUGGCGAAGGCAGCCCCCUGGGCCGAUACUGACGCUCAGGCACGAAAGCGUGGGGAGCAAACAGG